rnacentral:rRNA from 1 species
AUUGAACGCUGGCGGCAUGCCUUACACAUGCAUGUCGAACGGCAGCACUGGUGCUUGCACCUGGUGGCGAGUGGCGAACGGGUGAGUAAUACAUCGGAACGUACCUUAUCGUGGGGGAUAACGCAGCGAAAGCUGUGCUAAUACCGCAUACGCCCUGAGGGGGAAAGCGGGGGAUCGAAAGACCUCGCGCGAUUAGAGCGGCCGAUGCCUGAUUAGCUUGUUGGUGGGGUAAAAGCCCACCAAGGCGACGAUCAGUAGCUGGUCUGAGAGGACGAUCAGCCACACUGGGACUGAGACACGGCCCAGACUCCUACGGGAGGCAGCAGUGGGGAAUUUUGGACAAUGGGGGCAACCCUGAUCCAGCAAUGCCGCGUGAGUGAAGAAGGCCUUCGGAUUGUAAAGCUCUUUUGUCAGGGAAGAAACACCGGCUCUAACACAGUCCGGGAAUGACGGUACCUGAAGAAUAAGCACCGGCUAACUACGUGCCAGCAGCCGCCGCCG